rnacentral:rRNA from 1 species
AGAGUUUGAUCAUGGCUCAGAUUGAACGCUGGCGGCAGGGUAACACAUGCAAGUCGAGCGGCAGCGGGUCCUUCGGGAUGCCGGCGAGCGGCGGACGGGUGAAUAAUGCCUAGGAAUCUGCCUGGUAGUGGGGGAUAACUCGGGGAAACUCGAGCUAAUACCGCAUACGUCCUACGGGAGAAAGCGGGGGAUCUUCGGACCUCGCGCUACCAGAUGAGCCUAGGUCGGAUUAGCUAGUUGGUGAGGUAAAGGCUCACCAAGGCGACUAUCCGUAGCUGGUCUGAGAGGAUGAUCAGCCACACUGGAACUGAGACACGGUCCAGACUCCUACGGGAGGCAUCAGUGGGGAAUAUUGGACAAUGGGCGAAAGCCUGAUCCAGCCAUGCCGCGUGUGUGAAGAAGGUCUUCGGAUUGUAAAGCACUUUAAGUUGGGAGGAAGGGCAGUAAGUUAAUACCUUGCUGUUUUGACGUUACCGACAGAAUAAGCACCGGCUAACUUCGUGCCAGCAGCCGCGGUAAUACGAAGGGUGCAAGCGUUAAUCGGAAUUACUGGGCGUAAAGCGCGCGUAGGUGGUUUGAUAAGU